AGAACGAAUGCUGGCGGCAGGCCUAACACAUGCAAGUCGAACGCCUUAGCAAUAAGGAGUGGCAGACGGGUGAGUAACACGUGGGAACGUACCCUUCGGUUCGGAAUAACUCAGGGAAACUUGUGCUAAUACCGGAUACGAUCGCGAGAUGAAAGAUUUAUCGCCGAAGGAUCGGCCCGCGUCUGAUUAGCUAGUUGGUGAGGUAAUGGCUCACCAAGGCGACGAUCAGUAGCUGGUCUGAGAGGAUGACCAGCCACAUUGGGACUGAGACACGGCCCAAACUCCUACGGGAGGCAGCAGUGGGAAUAUUGGACAAUGGGCGCAAGCCUGAUCCAGCCAUGCCGCGUGAGUGAUGAAGGCCUUAGGGUUGUAAAGCUCUUUUACUCGGGAAGAUAGUGACGGUACCGAGAGAAUAAGCCCCGGCUAACUUCGCGCCAGCAGCCGC
rnacentral:rRNA from 1 species